GGGCCUCCGCUGUGCCUAACUAGUAAACAAGUCCUGUACGCAGGUGCAAGAGUGAAUUCACUCCUAGUCACUCCCAUUCGGGGUGUAAUAGUGGGGUGAUGGGCAAGCAACGAAUCGGGAGCUGUCACGCCAUAUCAGACCUGUUCCUCCAUGGCUCACUGCCCUCUCCAUCUCCACUGCAGUUCUGAAGAGAAAUGGACAAGCAUAACUUCCCUGAGGACAUGGACUGAACCUGAUGUGCCUGUUGUCCCUGUUCCCCUGUACCAGGAUAUCCAGAAUGUAACAAUAGGCAGUAAAUGUAAGUUCUUUUCAACUGAA
rnacentral:lncRNA from 1 species